ACCAUAGCCCUGGAAACUGGUGUCCAGAAUGUAUCCACAGAGCAGGAACAGCAUGGGAAGGGCCAUUCUGGGAUUCCCUACACUGCCCUGCCAAGAUGUCUGGCUUCCUCCCACAUAAGCCAGAGGAGAUUGCAGUUUCCCUCCAUUGUUUCUACUGCAACA
rnacentral:sRNA from 1 species